UUCUAUUGUUUUAAAGUAGUAAUUUUGUAGCUCUUUCAUCCAAAAAUCCAAAUGACCCCUAAUUCCUUUUUAAAAAAAUUUUUUUCGUAUUCUUUUAAAGAAAUUCAAAAACUUCAUGUUUACCAUGACACAUGUUUGAUACACGCUGAUAUCCCACUAUGCCUUCCAGGCAAAUAGAAUCAAACUUUGUAUACAUAAUUCUACACUUUGCUGCAUCACUGUCAAGGUUUCCUUCAGAGAUGGUUCUCAUCGGCAUUCUAACAAGUUCAACAUAAAACUGAGGAUUCGUUGGGGGACCAUACAUCACAACAGCUUUUACACCCCUAAAGUCAAAUCGACGGAAAUGGUGAGCGCGCUCAGUAUAUAGCAUUAUAUUGGUUCUACCUUGAUAAAAAAGAUUGCGGGCUCUAGUCAUAUCGGAUACACUCGAAUAUUCUGAUAUGGCAGAAUAGUUAAUUCCCUCCUCAUCCAUGUAAUUUCUCACACGAACAAAAUCAAAAUAUGAAGGUAUAUAAACUAAAAUACCACUCUGGGAAUACUUCUUUAGUUGUACUAGUAUAGAACCAGUAAAAUAGGAAAAGCGGGCAUCUGGAACUUUAAUAAUAGAAUCGACAGAAAUGCGAACAAAAGUUUGAGUCACUUUGUACCCCAAGCGGUUUAAAACACCGUGAAGAAGCGAGCGAAAUUUAACCUUACCAGCAAUAUUUGACAUGUAGUGAGAAAAGAAAGAAUUUAUAUCUAGAUUGUUAUAUUGAGAAAAUAGUAUAGUUUGGCGCAUAUAUCUGGCUUGCUGAUCAAGAUACCAAGGACGAACACGACUGAAAUCACAACCGUGAGCUUCUUUAGGCAAACCAUUAAGUUCAUCAAAAAUGCAUUCAAUAUGUUCCCAGUUUUGCAUCACGAGAGCAUGAGCUUGGUCAACCAUUGCUAUUUCAAUCGAACUCAAAUAAUCGAGGUCUCGCUUUUUAUCUCCCUUGUUACCAAUAGCAAGACGAAGUCCCAAAGGACUAGCAACUAUAAUGUCAGAAUUGUAAAACUGGGAAAAUAGCUUGACAGUUUUUCUUGUAAAUUUAACACCCAGUCGAAACAUAUCGUCGGUAUUUCCGGAAAAAAGAUAACGAAAAUCUUCUGGCUUUUUUUCUGAAAUGACUUCUUUUUCAAUCGAGAAUUCAUUAUCAAAACGCUUUCGAUUUUCUACUUGAUUAGUCCCAGAAUAUGAAAUAAGUAAAUUAAUGAAUUCAAAAGCACUAUUCCUUGUGGGUAAAAGAAUUAAUACUUUAGGCCUGGUGUAUCCCUGAUCACGAAAUUCUAAUUCAGGAUUUUGAGAAAUGCGAGCACUAUUUUUUAAAACACGGUCUCUUGUUUUGAAUACAUGGUUCAAAGCAUGAAGCGCCAAGAGUGAAGUCCCUAACUUAUGGCUUUUCAUGGACAUGUUAGUAAAGAAUACAUCUUGAUAAUUGAACAUUGCUUUCGCUAACUCAAUUUGCAUGGAUGUAAGUUGCCCAGAUGGCUUUUGCUUUUUAUAGGAGUCCAAUAUCCUCUGCUUUAGUCCCAAAUCAUCAAUAUUCUUUAUUUCGCUAAGACACGAGCAAGGCAAUCUCUUGGUCACAUCCGGAAAAAACGAUUGUGACACUCCAAGUUUGGAUUCCUCUAUAGACUUACAUAACUUUCCCUCAUCAUAAGCAGCAAUAGAAUUUUUAAUGACUUCUGAGUCAUCGUAAUCGAAGUGUUGAUGAAAUGGGUCUUCAGAUGAAUCUUGAGCUUCUUGGUGCAAAGUCUCAUCGGCAUCCUGAGAUUCAACAUUGAUGUAAUAUUGUAUUGCUUCUUGUUCAUCGUUUUCGUUUUCAUUUUCAUCUUCCAUUUCAACUUCCAUCUCAUUUAAACUUUCAAUAACUUUGUUCUUUUUUUGUACUUUCUUCGAUGACUUUUCUUUAUCAUCUUUUUUCUCAGGUUUUCUCUUUUUAUUUUUAUUCAUAAGAUAUAAUAAAGCCUCAUAAGACUUUCCAGCCAAUUCAUCCAUCGAGGCACCGUCUAAAUCACUUUCAAUUGCCAUAUUCGCAAAUUUGAUGAAAUCAAGUUAUAGCCUAACAGCUGAAAGAGGAAAUAAACAAAAUAUUUUUUCAAAAUAUUUUUAUUAUAUCUCGAAGAAAAUACUCGUAAAUUUUCCAGCUUUCGGUACCCCAA